GCGGUUCCGGAGGUCGGAGAAGAGCGGAGAGCUGCCUCUUUUUUUUUUUUUUUCCCCUGCUCUAUCUGGGCCAAAUAAGCCCUAAGAGCUUCGCGGACAUCCUGGGCAGGAUGCAGCCCGGGAGAUGCUCGCGCAGUGGAGAAUUCCAGCGGUGUGGCACAAGGGGUGGCACGCAGCUCUGCUGAGAAAGGGCAGUGACCUCCGUGCUGGCUCCGUGGUGCUGCAGGCCCCGCUGCUCGGCCGUGGCAGUUAUCUGAGCGCUGCCCCACAAAUGUGGGGCAAGGGAUGGAGGAGCUCGGAUAUAGCUGCUCAAACAGCGGCUCCGGCCUUGGCAAAUAGCCGGUUUCAAAGAGCGGCUGCCUCCUGCUUCUCUGAGCUAAGCGGUUCUGCAGCAGAGAGAAAUAAGGGAGCUCGCCAAGAGGUGGCGCUGCACGGGCUGAAAUGGGGAAACAACAUGGAGACCUGAGAGAGGGUCGGAGGCAGCGCGUCCUGCCCAGAGGCAUCCGGAUGGCUGCAGGAAGCUUCUGGCCAGGAGUGACGACCCGGUGACAGAGAGCGCAGUGCUGCCUGCGAGAGCUGGGUGACUGCAAAGAGAUGAAGGGGAUUAAUGCACAAAGAGGCCAAGCAAGAGUAGUCCUACAAAGAAACACACAGCGAGCUUCUCCCAUGGAAAGUGUGCACGAUGAGAGCCCUGGACCAAGCAUGCAGAGCCCUAGGGAUCACUCUCAGAAAAGUACAGCAUUUUUUAGCCUUCUGGAACGCACAGAAGUUCAUCCCAGGCAGCGGCGCUCCCUUUCUGGCUCCAGCACAGAGCCGGCAGGAUGGUGCGGGUCCUCGGGCUCUUUCAUGCUAGUGAUGCUGGAAGCUGAUUUACAUGUAACAGUGCAACACUGAUCUCGGGCAUAAUAAUAGAAAAGCUGAUGUGGGAUUCAGCUGGUAAAGAAUUAAAGGAUGGGAAUAUAAUUAAUGCAAUCA